rnacentral:rRNA from 1 species
UACGUAGGGUGCAAGCGUUGUCCGGAAUUAUUGGGCGUAAAGAGCUCGUAGGCGGUCUGUCGCGUCGAUCGUGAAAACUUGGGGCUUAACCCUGAGCUUGCGGUCGAUACGGGCAUGACUGGAGUUCGGCAGGGGAGACUGGAAUUCCUGGUGUAGCGGUGAAAUGCGCAGAUAUCAGGAGGAACACCGGUGGCGAAGGCGGGUCUCUGGGCCGAUACUGACGCUGAGGAGCGAAAGCGUGGGGAGAGAAAAGG